GAUGAAGAACGUAGCGAAAUGCGAUAAGUAAUGUGAAUUGCAGAAUUCAGUGAAUCAUCGAAUCUUUGAACGCACAUUGCGCCCGCCAGUAUUCUGGCGGGCAUGCCUGUUCGAGCGUCAUUUCAACCAUCAAGCCCCAGGCUUGUGUUGGGGACCUGCGACUGCCGCAGGCCCUGAAAACCAGUGGCGGGCUCGCUGUCACACCGGGCGUAGUAGAUUUUAUCUCGCUCAGGGCGUGCUGCGGGUUCCGGCCGUUAAAAAGCCUUUUUUACCCAAGGUUGACCUCGGAUCAGGUAGGAAGACCCGCUGAACUUAAGCAUAUCAAUAAGCGGAGGA
rnacentral:misc_RNA from 1 species